rnacentral:rRNA from 1 species
GGGUUCUACCGUUGGUCGGGCAUUGUCUGUACUAGCGUGUGGAAUUUCUACCUUCUGGGGAACCAUCAUGUUAUUAAUUUAGCGUGGCGGGAAACCAGGACCUUUACCUUGAAAAAAUUAGAGUGUUCAAAGCAGGCUUACGUCUGAAUACAUUAGCAUGGAAUAAUAAAAUAGGAUGGUGGUCCUGUUUUGUUGGUUUCUGAAUCACCGUAAUGAUUAA